rnacentral:rRNA from 1 species
AAAUCCGGUUGAUCCUGCCGGAGGCUACCGCUAUUGGAGUUCGAUUAAGCCAUGCGAGUCGCGAGUCUUAGGGACUCGGCGUACCGCUCAGUAACACGUGGGUAACCUGCCCUAUGCUGGGGGAUAACCUCGGGAAACUGAGAAUAAUACCCCAUAGUUCACCACGCCUGGAACGGUGGGUGGAUGAAAGCUCCGGCGGCAUAGGAUGGGCCUGCGGCGUAUCAGGUUGUAGGGGGUGUAAUGUACCCUCUAGCCCUCUACGCGUACGGGUGUUGGGAGACAUCGCCCGGAGAUGGAUUCUGAGACACGAAUCCAGACCCUACGGGGUGCAGCAGGCGCGAAAACUUGGCAAUGCGAGCAAUCGUGACCAGGGAA